AAAAAAAAAAAAAAAGAGAAAAAUGUUUGGAUCUUCGUAGCCUUUUUUAAGCUUUUGAUUGUGCUAAACUUGGUAUGUGAUUAGAAUGGCUGUCCGUGGCAAUUAAACGGGGUUGCUAAGAAAUUGGAUUUCAUUUUUGUGAUCAUGCGAAAUUUGGUUUAUUGGUUUUUAUGAUCCGUGUUGAGAUUGUGAAUGUGGAGGUUAUAUGGGAAUUUAGAUAUGUUUUCUAUCAUGCUGUUGCUUUUCUUAUAUAGGCUUCAUUGCUUAGAGUUUACUGUUUUUGCUGCUUUUUUUUUUUAAUGUGUCAAAUUCGUUGCUAUCCAAAUUUAUUUGAGAAGUUAUCAAAGUAUUUAUACACGGUUAGUUGAUUUAAAGUUUUGAGAUUGAAUUUGAACUUUUAUGCUUUCUCCAUCCCACAAAUAUUGUCCUCGCUGAGAUCUUUGAUUCAGUGCACUGUUUAAGAAAAACAAUAAUAGAGUGAUGUAACAUAAACUUUGAGCUUCCUAAAUUUAGUUUUCUUCAGUGCUUGGCCACUUAAUGAAUACUGUACCCUCUAUAAAAUAAUUCAUAAUACAAAGUAAGGGGUAAUAUAGGAAAGUUAAGAAAAAUGAUGCUUUUGACUUUGAUAAUAGACAAAUAAAUUGGAAUGAAAAAGAGAGGGAGUAGUUAGCAAAAUAGGAAAGGGGAAAUUGGUUGUAGAAGUUUAUUGGUUAAUGAAAGUAGAAGUUUCAUACGAAGAAAAACACGUGUAAGCUGGGAAAAGUUAUGUUGAAUGUUGAUACAAAAAAAUUUGCAUUGCUAGAGAAGUUGCUUUCAAAAUGGAUGGAACCAUUGUUUGUGCCACAAAGCAAUUUAUUGUACAACAAGUGUUGCAUCCAGUGGUUUGGACACAGCAAUUGUUGCUUUUGCAAUGAUAGCACUUUUUUAUAGAUGGUAUUCUUUUUAAUAGUUGAUCAUGAUAUCAAUGGAUGAUGGUGUGUUUGGCUUACUAGUUAAAUAUCUUUGUUUAUGUAGCGAUUGUAAUUAUUUACGGGCAAAAUCCACUAUCUCUGUUCAUGAUGAUAACUGGGUUUAGCAGUAUAGUUAAUUCUCUUAAGCACUGGUAUAUGAGUUCAGUAGUUUAAUGUCAGAAUGCAGUUGCUUUGAAUGCAGCAAUUAGAUGCCAACUGUUCUGUAGUUUACUUUUUGUUUCAAAUUUAUGCAGUAGCUUACUUUUUUUUUUGAAUAUAUGCGCUAAGGCUGGUGUUUGUUACACAUUAUGCAAAAUGAAAUUAAAGAAUGAACUUUUAUAUGAAUUUAAUCAAGUAAUGCACUGACUUCUUAUUGAAGAGUGUUUCAUGCCAAUUGGACACUAUAUGGAUGCCUUACGUGUUUUAUCUGGGCCUUCCUUUUUGUUUUCAAAUUCAAUAUCUUGCAUGUAUUUUUUCCCCUUUUGUAAUUCUGGACCCUGUUCUACUUGAAUUUGAUGGCUGGGUCUCUUGUAACUGAAAGUGUGCUUCAGCUCUCAGGUGGCUGCAUAACAAACAUGAUUUUGCACUUAGUUGUUUUGGCAGAUACAUGUCCUGAAUACUGAUUUAGAUUUCCUAUGUGGAAUGUGUAUGCAAACUUAGCAAUUUAGUUGACAAUGAUGUGCUCCCUGUCAUGGCCUAUCUUGUUGGUUCCUUGGCGGUAUCCAAAAAUAUUCAGUUGGCAUCAUUUGGUUUUUGAGAAGAGGCCAACAAGCCCAUAGCUUGGAUAAUUUCUUUUUAGCUUGGUUGCAUCAUGCUGCUGGCAUUUGAUUUAUGCACAUGUGUGCAAGAAAGAGAGACAGAAAUUGGAAUGUAUUUUUUUUUUUGUUUAACUAAUAUUCGUUUAUGAUUUAAUGUGGGUUUGGUUGUCUUUUGCAAUGGGGUGGUUGCUCUCUCUUUCUAAUCUGUAGUAUCAGCAUCUUGCAAUUUGUGAAAGUUGUUGAAGGGAAUACCUUCUAUGCUGGCAAUUUCUUAACUUGUGUGCUUUGUUCUAGACACUGAUGGAUUUGUGAUUCCAAGCUUGGGAAUAGAAGGGCCAGAUCACGGGAGACCUGAUGCUUCUGCAGUAGAACCAUCAAAACCUCCUUCUCCAAAGGUCAAUUGCAAUUGUGAAAUUCAUACUAGUAGUUGCUCAAAAUGCCAGUGAUUUAGACUUUGAGUAUGCGUACAUGAAGAUAAUUGCUAUAAUCUAUUUGUGCAACUAUCCUCCUUCCGCAGGCUAAAAAAGAAGAGAACAUUUACCUAGGACCUCACGGGGCUCCACCUUCGCAAUCAAAGCAGCAAGAGCUGAACCAUUCUGGUCGUAAACAGCGGUUCAAGCAGAAACUGAAGGAAGCGGAUAGGAGAAUUACUGGAACAGGGAGGGAAAAUAAGUUAGAGAAUCUGCGAGAGCUAGUAGGUGGAGGGAGGGGAAGUCCCAACAUGGCAAAGGGUUCUCCCAGGGACUGGUUAGACCCACAUUGCCAUGAAUCACAGUUUGAGAAGUGGUCCUCUCAGUGAGUGGAUUAUUUGGUACCUAAUAUUAUCUCUCUAGUUUAACAUUGGCACAAACUAUUUCAAGCUUCAAUAUCUUUAGAGAUGCAUAUUUUAUUGAAAUCCAUGUAUUAUGACAAUAAUCCUUCAUCAAUUGGACUAUUUGGUGAUGCUGCGAAAACAGAAUAUAUUAUGAUAAUGGACGUUAGCCCUUUAAACCUAUUCGCAGGGCAUUUGAACUUGCCUAUUUAUGACUUGGUAUUGCUUCCAUUGAAUAUGCAACACGCACACUAACAGUGGUAAAGCAGAAUAUAUGCAGGUAUGUUAAUGUAUGAGUCGGCAAUCAUGGGGAAUGAAC
rnacentral:misc_RNA from 1 species